GCCCUUAUAGCUCAGUGGUAUGAGCGCAGCACUUGUAAUGCUGAGGUCCGUCGUUCGAUCCGGCGUGGGGGCU
rnacentral:tRNA from 1 species